rnacentral:rRNA from 1 species
UACGUAGGGGGCUAGCGUUGUCCGGAUUUAUUGGGCGUAAAGAGCGUGUAGGCGGCCAUACAGGUCAGCUGUGAAAACUCGAGGCUCAACCUCGAGACGUCGGUUGAAACCGUAUGGCUAGAGUCCGGAAGAGGAGAGUGGAAUUCCCGUGUAGCGGUGAAAUGCGCAGAUAUCGGGAAGAACACCCGUGGCGAAGGCGGCUCUCUGGACGGUACUGACGCUGAGACGCGAAAGCGUGGGGAGCGAACAGG